CAUUUUUUGGCAUAUCGUACCAAGUACAGAAGUACACUGAAUUGCCAAGAUCUUCAGUCUGAGUUUUUAAAUAUUCACCCACGUAACUAUAUGCGAAUAAUUGUGUUAAGAGCACGCACAUUACUAUAAAUGUUUUUAUUGUCAUGACGACAUUUCCAAUGCUCAAAGCGAGAAUAAAUUCAAAUCCUAGAAACAGAUAUAAAUUUCUAUAAAUUGAAUGCACUUAAAUAAAAUUAUGUUAUUGUGUUUAAUCAAAUAUUAUUUCAUUAAAUGAAAUAAAACUAUUGCAAAUAUUCACCGGUUGUACAUAUAAGCACACAACUUGAAAAUAGUUGUACGAUCAAAAUAGAGCUAAUUGUUUCAUUCAACAUGUCGCUUAGUUUCAACAAUCUCAAAAUCUCCACUUGGCCGCACAAAUGAAAGGCAAUACCAAAAAACAAUGAAUCACUACCUAAAUAUUUAAAAUUAAACAAAACAUUUUAAUACUAAAAUCAUAUCCCGAACAAGUGUUGAUAUUUAUGUGCGCGAUAAAUCAUUACCUAGAUUUCCAGUGCUCGUAAGUAGCAACAUUAAGUAUUCAACAAUAAAAAUCACGAAAUACAUAUUUUUCGGCAUAUUUAUAAGUGUUAAUGUAUUUUCAGAUGGCAUAGGAUAUUUUAUUGCACUUUCUUCCGUUACAUUAAUCACUUCUUCUUCAUCCCCAG